rnacentral:rRNA from 1 species
UACAGAGGUGGCAAGCGUUGUUCGGAAUUACUGGGCGUAAAGGGCGCGUAGGCGGCCUUCUAAGUCAGACGUGAAAUCCCCAGGCUUAACUUGGGAACUGCGUCUGAUACUGGGAGGCUUGAGUGCGGGAGAGGGAUGUGGAAUUCCAGGUGUAGCGGUGAAAUGCGUAGAUAUCUGGAGGAACACCGGUGGCGAAGGCGGCAUCCUGGACCGACACUGACGCUGAGUGCG